rnacentral:sRNA from 1 species
AUUCUUAUCGGAAGCCCUUGCCAGCGGCAGAAACUGCCGCUAUGAACCGGC